ACCACCUCUUAGCUGCGCCAAAUUACCAGCGUUCUCAGAAAACGCCGCAGGUCAAGUGAGCUGCUGCGGUUCAUGUUGCGUUCCCAGGCUCUGCUCCUAAUGACCCCGAAUUGGUGGCUGUUUUGAACCCAACCGCAUCUAAUAAACUGGUGGGGGAGGGGUUGUUCCAUUAAGAUACCCCCACUAAAAUAAUUUGGCACGUUUAACCUUUCCCCCUUUUGGUGCGAACCCUAGCAGAGCAAAGGCUAUAAUCACUGGUCUCCUUCCUCCAUCAUCGUGUCUCAUCCCUCCACCAGUCCUAGCCGCCACGUCCGUGUCUUCGUUCUUCCCCUUGACUGGUCGCCUACAUCCGCUGUGUAGCUCCCGUGCCCGAAGGUAAAGUGAAAAGGGAGUCUUCUCCUUCUUCUGUGCACAUCUAUGCCGUCCUCGGUGGACACUCCAACCAUCCGUCCCAAUCUCGUUGUCGGCAGCCCUCCCCUUGCCCUUGCCCUGUUGUGCAUUGCCGAUUGCACACUCUUCCCUCUCUCUCUAAAUUAUUUCAGUUUGCCCGCACUAGUUUCCAGAAUGCCCAAAGGGUUCUGGUUGAAGUACAAGCAGAGUUGGUGGCUGAGAAAUUAAAAAGGAAGGUAGUGGAGGAUGAAGUAGCAGUUGAGAAGACAAAAAGAUAAGCAAUGGAGGAUGCUGAUGAAGUAGCAGAUGGGAAGAUAAGGAUGCAGGCAAUGGAGAGUGCUCUGAUAUGUCUACUUCAAGGGCGAGGUGGGAAGCUGCCAUCAGACGUUGCCGUAUGGAUGAAUUCGUUGGAGGGACAGAUUAGAAAGUAGAUCUUAGGAUUGUGGAAGUUUUUUUUAAAAAAUAUACACUUUUUUGGUGUUAACUAUGCAACUCUUAGUGAGGAGUACACUUCAUUGAUAUUUGGAUAAUUAUAUGAAUUUUAUAUUUAGUUUUGCUAA